GACGAACGCUGGCGGCGUGCCUAAUACAUGCAAGUCGAACGCAGUGGGGACGGGUGAGUAACACGUGGGUAACCUCCCAUCAGAGGGGAUAACACUUGGAAACAGGUGCUUACACGAUACUGAUGGAUGGACCCGCGUUUCAUUAGCCAGUUGGUGAGGUAACGGCUCACCAAGGCCACGAUGCAUAGCCGACCUGAGAGGGUGAUCGGCCACACUGGUACUGAGACACGGCCCAGACUCCUACGGGAGGCAGCAGUAGGGAAUCUUCGGCAAUUGACGAAAGUCUGACCGAGCAACGCCGCGUGAGUGAAGAAGGUUUUCGGAUCGUAAAACUCUUUUGUUAGAGAAGCGGUAUCUAACCAGAAAGCCACGGCUAACUACGUGCCAGCAGCCGCGGUAAUAC
rnacentral:rRNA from 1 species